rnacentral:rRNA from 1 species
AUUGAACGCUGGCGGCAGGCCUAACACAUGCAAGUCGAACGAGGCGCGGGCGGGUGAGUAAUGUCUGGGAAACUCCCAUAUGGCGGGGGAUAACUACUGAAAACGGUAGCAAAUACCGCAUACCAUCAGAUUCCCCCAGGUGGGAUUAGCUAGUAGGUGAGGGAACGGCUCACCUAGGCGACGAUCCCUAGCUGGUCUGAGAGGAUGACCAGCCACACUGGAACUGAGACACGGUCCAGACUCCUACGGGAGGCAGCAGUGGGGAAUAUUGCACAAUGGGCGCAAGCCUGAUGCAGCCAUGCCGCGUGUAUGAAGAAGGCCUUCGGGUUGUAAAGUACUUUCAGCGGGGAGGCGUUACCCGCAGAAGAAGCACCGGCUAACUCCGUGCCAGCAGCCGCGGUAAUAC